UACCCCAGAUCCAAAAACUAGAUCACUCCAGUUCUACCCUCCUAUUAACCACACCCUAUACACUAACUCGAUCUUCAGGAUGACUAAUCUGGAUGACCCAAUGCGACAAACCAGUGAAUCAACAGCAGACAGGCAAAUGAACGCAGUGCUUGCAAGCCCUCACUUUGAAAAGCUACAAGUUGAUGCUAACCGUUGGUCAGAAUAUUUGUAAGAUGGUAGAUUUCAGCUAAAUAGACACAUCCCUUCACUGUAAGAAGCCAUCCACUCCCCCUUCUGGGCUCCCUCCACUCUCCUGCGAGGUGCAGCCUUCCUCAGCUGAGCUGACUACCCAGGGGCACCUAGCUAUCUUGGCAGACCCUUGUGGCAAAGUGGCUGAGUGGACAGAUUUGCACAGGGGCACUGCACCUGGAUAAACAAGACUCCAAGUUGUCAGCUCCAAGGGCAAUAUUGCUCCACUGGAUCAUUUUACUGACUACAACCUCAACCAUCUCACAGAGAAAUUCCUUCCCAACUCAAAGCCUGUAAAACCCCAAGAAUGCUUCUUGUUAGUGAGACAGACUUCAGAGUGGUUUUGACAAUAUA